UCACCCGGCCUGGCCGAUGCCUCCCUUUGCUUUGCUGGGAAGUCGUUUCCUUCUCCUUCCUGCUCAGGCUGGGUCAGGUGGCCUCUGUGACUCCUCAGGUCCCUCCCAGGUACCCCCAUUGGGGCUGGGCUCGUGUCUGUGGCAUUGCUGCGCUGGCCCUGGGCCGCAGGGAUCCUUGGUGAGUGAACCGUAAAUGUGCCAGGCUUCCUCAGCACCAGGGUGGCUCUGAGACUGGAAACACCCCCUUUUGGCUGCAUGGGAAGGAGAUCUCCCACAGAAGUAUAACCGAGGAUGUCGGGGCUCGUGUGAGCGGUUCAGAAGACAUGACGGUGCUCCCCAGGUGGUGCCGAAUGAUUAUUGCUGGCCCAACAGCUGCAGGUAGAAGCAUCAGAUGAAACGGAAUUGGCGAAACAGGGUCCCAGCAGAUCUGUCUAUCAGAGGUGUGGCUUCAGAAAAAUGGUGCAUAUUUUGAUUUAAAGCCUUGAAAAAAAAGCAAAAAUGAAAUUCAGCAGACUUGGGACAAACAAUUUGGAAAGAGUUCCUUGGAAGACCAUCGCUGACAGCCACCUCCAAAUGGCCAGCAGGUGUCAGUGUCAUGUCCUGGAGCAGGACCCUCUGUCCAACAGUGAGUCAGCACUAGCCGAACUUGUCCUCAGACACACAAGGCUUCAAGGACAAGGGACCAACCCAGCCCUGCAAACCCUGAGGUCUUGUGUUUCUGCCUGGGUUAUCAUAAGAGCAAGGAUGGGAGAAGAAUAGCAUCGUACUUCAAAGAAAAUGUAGGAAGUGUUGAAGAGUGUGAAGAAAACAGAAAGCAUUAAUUUUAUUUAAAGGUCAUCAGUUUACUGAGCUAAGGAAGUCAAAGCAUUUGUCCAGCCCUAAUGGAGCAACGUUUGAGUUGAAUCUGAAGAUGAACAAGACAAUCAUUGCCUAUAGAAUUUCCUCCAAAUGGGGAACAAAAUACACAUGUAUGUAAUUCUAGGAAA